CUGUAACAUUCUGUUAAGAUGUGUCCAGCUCUCCUAAAGCCACAGAAUCCCAGAGACUCAAAGUAAAUUUUCUCUUCGGUAAAUCAGAAGGCUCUGCAUAAAUCUCACACUCCAAUUCCAAUCGACCUGACCAGCAGAAGAGACAAAAAGGGAAAAUCCUGGCCGGGUCUCCCCUAUGUGAGCUACCAGUAACAUCAUCAGAUUUGCAAGACCUCAAGAAAAGAAACCUGAAAAUGCCUCUGGAGGUGUGUGUUUUGCCAAAUGAAAAAAGAAUCAAAAACAAAACCUGUGGAAUGAAGACAAAGAAAUAAAGAGCAGGUUAAAGUCAAGUUUCUCCUGCUUUGGGCACCUUCAAAUAGAAGACGUUUCUGCUUCUCUUGCUUCUGAGAACCCACGAAAUCAACACAUCCCCAAAAGACGCCUUGAGGAACGGAAAGUGUCCUGCACCCCCAACCCUCCCGCACUAAGAGCGGCGGAGGAUCCCACCGCUUCGCACUUCCCUGGAGGGACUCCUGGAUUAGGAGGUGCCUUCUGGUCUGGAAGAGUAUUCCCUCGGCUGGGCGCACGCAGUCCAUCCCCAAUGCUCCAACUUGAAAACUUGGAGUUGGCCACGACUACCCCAUUCCAAUCUCACCCCACGGCGCUUUCUCCCCUCUUGGUGCUGAGAGCUUUUGAGACCACCUGCCCUGAGGUCCCUACGUCCGAGGGACCCCGGCAAGGACCUGUCCCGCUGAGCCCGCCUGACUUACGCGGCGCAGUCGGUGCUUCUCCCUGAGCCGCGGUGAGCACGGACCCCAGCCGGUUGUCCUGACAGCUCUUCCCAAGUCUGGCAGACACGAGACAGCCCCACCUAGUUACGAGGAGCCUGCCGAACUCGAGCCUUUUAAGUGCUCCUGUAGGAUCACAUGACCCAGACCUACAGGGCGAGAGCUACGUGGUUUCCCUACCUCCUGGUCCCAGAAGUCAGCGCACCAAGUCAGCCGCACCUGUCAGCGCUUGGUGCGCACCUGGCCCCACCAAGUCAGCGCUCCCCGUGCUGGAAGAAGCGAGCAGCCCAGGGUGGACUCCCAGGGUGGAAUCUUACAAAUUAAUGAAGCUCAUCAGCUGCGGUGCAGUUCAGUUCCCCUGAGUGAAAUAUGGCAUGCAGUAACCAGAAGAGAAAAUUACAAUGACAUUCAUUAAAAUAAUUAAAACGGUC